rnacentral:lncRNA from 1 species
GGUUGUUUACUAUGUCGUUUGCUUCUUUCUGGUGUUGUUUCUUCGGGUUGGUUCCGAGAACGUCGCGUUUGUGAGGACCCGGUCGACUACGUCCGUUUGCCUUCUUCAUGGACUCGUUCUUCUUCCUUGCGAGAUCUCAGGCAAGAUGACCAUACCCUCGAAAUCACUUCUAUUUUUGCUUGCUAGUUGCUCGCACUUUUGCUAUGCCAAUGCUGCGAUACCUACCACUUGCUUAUCAUGCCUCCCAUAUUGUUAAACCAAGCCUCUAACCCACCUUAUCCUAGCAAAAUGUUGUUUGGCUAUGUUACCGCUUUGCUCAGCCCCUCUUAUAGCGUUGUUAGUUGCACAUGAAGAUUGAAGUUUGUUCCUUGUUGGAACAUGGAGAUGUUCUUCCUUGUUGGAACAUGAUAUUUGUUGGGAUAUCACAAUAUAUCUUAUUUUUAAUUAAUGCAUCUAUAUACUUGGUAAAGGGUGGAAGGCUCGGCCUUAUGCCUGGUGUUUUGUUCCACUCUUGCCGCCCUAGUUUCCGUCAUAUCGGUGUUAUGUUCCCGGAUUUUGUGUUCCUUACGCGGUUGGGUUAUAAUGGGAACCCCUUGACAGUUUGCCUUGAAUAAAACUCCUCCAGCAAUGCCCAACAUUGGUUUUACCAUGUCCCACCUAGCCUCUUUUUCCCUUGGGUUCUGCAGACUCAAGGGUCAUCUUUAUUUAACCCCCCGGGCCAGUGCUCCUCUGAGUGUUGGUCCGAACUGAGCUGCCUACGGGGCCACCUCGGGGAAACUUGAGGGUUGGUUUUACUCGUAGCUCGUCUCAUCUGAGUGUGCCCUGACAACGAGAUAUGUGCAGCUCCUAUCGAGAUUUCUCGGCACAUUCGGGCGGUGUUGCUGGUCUUGUUUUACCAUUGUCGAAAUGUCUUGUAACCGGGAUUCCGAGCCUGAUCGGGUCUUCCCGCUAGAAGGAAUAUCCUUCGUUGACCGUGAGAGCUUGUGAUGGGCUAAGUUGGGACACCCCUGCAGGGUUUUGAACUUUCGAAAGCCGUUCCCGCGGUUAUGGGCAGAUGGGAAUUUGUUAAUGUCCGGUUGUAGAAAACCUGAAGUUGACCUUAAUUAAAAUGCAUCAACCGCGUGUGUAACCGUGAUGGUCUCUUUCCAGCGGAGUCCGGGAAGUGAACACGGUGUUGGAGUAAUGCUUGACGUAGGUUGUUCUAGGAUCACUUCUUGAUCAUAGUUGUUCGACUGUGCUUUUGCCUUCUCUUCUCGCUCUCAUUUGCAUAUGUUAGCCACCAUAUAUGCUAGUCGCUUGCUGCAGCUCCACCUCAUGCCUUUACCUUACCCAUAAGCUUAAAUAGUCUUGAUCGUGAGGGUGCGAGAUUGCUGAGUCCCCGUGGCUCACAGAUACUUCCUAAACCAGCUUGCAGGUGCCGAUGGGUCCAUGCCGAUGACGCAACCUAGCUCAGGAGGAGCUCGAUGAAGAUCUUGUCCUUUAUGUUGUUUCGUUCUAGUUGAUCAAUAGUGGAGCCCAGUUGGGGUCGAUCGGGGACCUUGUCGCAUUUGGGGUUCUUCUUUUAUUUUGGUUCCAUAGUCGGACCUUGAUUGUAUUUGGGUGUUGUAAUGCUUUAUUCAUGUAUUGUGUGAAGUGGCUAUUGUAAGCCAACUAUGUAUCUCUUUUCCCUUAUUAUAUUACAU